rnacentral:miRNA from 1 species
CCAUGGCAGGGUGUUGUCCUGGAGGAGUAAGCCCUGGGCUGUCACAGAGCCUGGCUUACUCCUCCAGGACAACACCCUGGCUGU